rnacentral:rRNA from 1 species
GAUGAACGCUGGCGGCGUGCCUAAUACAUGCAAGUCGAACGAAACUUCUUUAUCACCGAGUGCUUGCACUCACCGAUAAAGAGUUGAGUGGCGAACGGGUGAGUAACACGUGGGCAACCUGCCCAAAAGAGGGGGAUAACACUUGGAAACAGGUGCUAAUACCGCAUAACCAUAGUUACCGCAUGGUAACUAUGUAAAAGGUGGCUAUACUACCGCCUUUGGAUGGGCCCGCGGCGCAUUAGCUAGUUGGUAGGGUAAAGGCUUACCAAGGCAAUGAUGCGUAGCCGAAUUGAGAGGUUGAUCGGCCACAUUGGGACUGAGACACGGCCCAAACUCCUACGGGAGGCAGCAGUAGGGAAUCUUCCACAAUGGGCGAAAGCCUGAUGGAGCAACGCCGCGUGGGUGAAGAAGGUCUUCGGAUCGUAAAACCCUGUUGUUAGAGAAGAAAGUGCGUGAGAGUAACUGUUCACGUUUCGACGGUAUCUAACCAGAAAGCCACGGCUAACUACGUGC